CCUAAUCCUCUUCUCCCGAUGACAUCCAGACCGCUGCAUCCUCCUCUGCCGCUGCCUAGGUCCCACCGGCGCUCCCGACCUCGCGCGAGGACAUCCAGGACGUCGUUGUCAAGGCCGGCGAGCUGCGGGCAAGGAGGGGGAGUUGGAUCCGAAGACGCGAUGUACGUGAAGAAGCCGACGGCGGCGGAGGUCUCGCCCGCACCCAAGCCGUCGCCCCACCACCGUUCAUGGAUCGUCUCCGGCACCGUUGUCUGUCGUCGGGAGGACCUCGACGCACUGCGUCGGUCCUGCAUCGUCUCCGGCGAGAUCUAGGCCUGACCCCUCCUGACCAACCAUCAGCUCCCCAACCGGGCACAUGGAGGCCGCGGCGAGUACCGGCCCUCCUUCGUGGAUGACCUCCUCCUCGCCUUCUUCCGGAGGAACAUGGUGGAGGUGUUGAAAGAGCUGAAACAGCUAGAAGAUGCCAAAUAUGGUUCACCAUUCAGAUGUCGCCCCAAAUACGCCAAUGAGUUCAACCUUUACCACGACGCUCACUUGGAGCAACAGCAGCAUCCCCAUUGGCAGGAUAUCGCACUGCACAAGUGCGCUAGAACUGGAUUUAGAGAGGCCACACCCUGUGGGUUGUAUAUUUGUUGGUUCAAAGCAGUGAGCGCUGAGCAGUGUUGUAUAACUUUUACUUCCACUCAUGUUUUGGAGAUUGUGUAUGGCACUAGAAUAUGACCAUGUGAACCUAUGAGAUACAUUUAUGUGGCAUCAAUGAAUAUCACCAUUCAGAUUUUGCCAAAUAUGGUUCACAUUUAA